GUUGAACGCUGGCGGCGUGCCUAAUACAUGCAAGUCGAGCGAACAGAGGAGGAGCUUGCUUCUCUUACGUUAGCGGCGGACGGGUGAGUAACACGUGGCUAACCUACCUAUAAGGCUGGGAUAACUUCGGGAGACCGGAUCUAAUACCGGAUCAUAUAUUGAACCGCAUGGUUCAUUAGUGAAAGACGUUUUUGCUGUGACUUAUAGAUGGAUCCGCGCCGCAUUAGCUAGUUGGUAAGGUAACGGCUUACCAAGGCAACGAUGCGUAGCCGACCUGAGAGGGUGAUCAGCCACACUGGAACUGAGACACGGUCCAGACUCCUACGGGAGGCAGCAGUAGGGAAUCUUCCGCAAUGGGCGAAAGCCUGACGGAGCAACGCCGCGUGAGUGAUGAAGGUCUUCGGAUCGUAAAACUCUGUUAUUAGGGAAGAACAAAUGUGUAAGUAACUAUGCACGUCUUGACGGUACCUAAAGAGAAAGCCACGGCUAACUACGUG
rnacentral:rRNA from 1 species